rnacentral:sRNA from 1 species
GAACAUACCUUUGACACAUGCUAAGAGGCAGCAGAGUUUUUAUGUGUCUAGGUGCCAUGCAUAUAACUAGAUAAUAAGUGCAUUCCAAAUAAAGCAGAAGUGUACAUCAUAUUCUCUGCACACCUAAUCAUAGUCCCUGCCAAUUGGUUAACAUCCUUUUCCCCGCGAGAGCAUGGAAGAAAAUAUGAAAAUUAUUCGCUACCAUGCAUCGACAAGUACCUGCCAAAGAAAAGUUAGAUCAAUAUAGGAAUUGGAGCAACCACAAAAUAUAACCUAAUAAGCAGACAGUACCUGCAGGCAGAGCAAACUUUAGCUCAAUUGUAUUUGAUUGAUUCAGCAACUGUUGAAUUCAAGCACAUAUCGGCAAGCCAUGUAAUAUAACAAACAUUUGUAACGUUCCAGACACAUCAAGACAACUCUUCAGUCAACUGGACAGAUCAAACACCAACAAGUCAUAAAGGGAUGACCAACCAACUGGGCAAAAAUCCAUUGUUUUGAGUCUGCAAAUUAAUACUGCAAUAGGAAUAACAAUAAUCAUGAGAAGAGUGAUUAGUGAAGCGCAUUUUAGAUACCUUCAAGCAGGCGUUACAUUCCCCUUCUUGCUGAGGAGCUUUGCUGCCAGAGGAGAGGAACUGCCGUGAGAUACUCACCGCAAGCCUCCCAGGACCUAGGAAGCCACAACCGCUGCUGCUGCCAUGGUCAGCUUGGUCCUACCCUCUAGUGGUGACCUCCCACUGCCACCAGGCCUGCUUCUUCUCUCCCCCUAGGGUCCCUACGGCAACCAUCACAGCAAGCUGCUGCAACCACCUUUGCUGGUGCCAUCCGGUAUCAUAAACUCUUGGAGGACAGAGGAAGCAUCUGUGCACACUCAACAAACAAACAAACACACACGCACACGCACACACACACACC